AGGACUUGAUCUACUUAAUGUGCUAUGAGAGGAGAAACGAACCUUUAAAGACCAAUCUACACACUAAGAGCAUGGUAGUAGAUAAAAUUAAAGAAAAUCUUAGAGAUAGCUAGGCUGAUUAAUAGGUUUAGGUAGGGGAUAUUUGGGCACUUUCUAAACUUCUCCAUAACAAACCAAUCCUCCCAACUAUUGUUGUACCUUAUUCAGCGAAUGUGCAAACCCAAAUCGACUAGUCAGCUUCAAUUUCUAAUAGGAGGGAGAGAUCUAAAGUUUGGGUUGAGAGAAUUUGCCCUUAUAAUCGGCCUAAAAUGCCAUGAGAUUUCUGAUCUUAACCAGGAGGAUAUAAAGGGGGUGGGCGGCUAAAAGGAGUAUAUUUUGAAAACCUUAAAACUGUGAUGAGGCAGUACUUGAACUUUAUGUUCAACAUAAGUACUGCUGGCACCGAUGAUGAUAGAAUAAAAAUGCUGUACUUUCUCAAGAGUUUUUUGAUCCCUAGGCAAGAAUGUCUAAGUAUAGAGUGGAUCACAUCAUUAUGGUAGAUGAUGAUGAACUAUUUGAUGGGUACCCAUGUGGUAGAGUUACUUUUGAACUCUUAGUAGAGUUCAUGAAUAGGGUCAUUUGUAGUAAGGGGCAAACAAGGAUUUCGAUGGGGGGGGGGGGGAGGGGAUUUAUUUUCCCCAUUCUUGUUUGGGCUUAUGAGGUAAUCCCAACAUUGAGUACCCUGCCUAACUUCUUUGCAACAAGGAUUUCAAAUGAAGUCCCUAGGAUUAUAAAUUGAACAGCUGACACACAAUCCAAAUGGAAAGAUUUAAAAGAUAAGGUAUUCGAUUCGCCAAUGGUAUGUAAAUCUUGUAAUUUGUAGGAGUUUUGAUAUUCAUAACAGUUUUAAUAUUUAUAAAGUAUUUUAUUCCUUUUUGAAACAACUUGAAGUGUCCCCCAUGCUCGCCACACCAAUUGAAGUGAGAAUGCCAUACUUUGCACCAUUCCUUGAGACAGAAAAAGAUAUACUCAAAGAAGCAGAAGAUGAGCUUUGAAAGACCUAAAAUUUUGACCGCGUAGACCAUGUUUUGCUGAAUAGAGGCAUGCCCUCUACAAGUGGGAUUGAUGACCUGAUGAGAAUGUAGAAAAGAUUGAGAAGAGCUAAAAGAGGAUGGAGACAAGUAUGGAAGGUAUUCUUGAUUUUCUUAAAUCUGUAGAAUUGAAAAUGAAUACUUGGUUUGAAGAACUAAGGAAGAAGAUGAAUGGAAUAAUAGAAGCAAUAAGAAGCCAACAAUCUAGUUCUUUGGUUGCCCAAUACACCAAUGAAUUUAUGGGAGCAAAGGCGUUUGAAGAGCACCAUGACAAGGUGGAGGAGGACCAAGUAGAAGAUGACGUUGAAGAUUUGAACUUGGAUUCAAGCAAUCCAACGAUGCUUGGAAAAAGGGAUGACGAUAAAGACAAAGAUGAAAAAGGGCUCAUGGAUGAAAGUUGAACACAAACUUCCAGAGGGCAAGAUGGUGGGCAACCUAAAAUGACAAAAUCAGGCACACUAUCAACAACUAGAGAUGGAGAUCGUUCGCUGUAUAAGGCCACAAAGGAAACCGAGGAGGAGAUAAACAGGCUAAUACGAUCAAUCGAUGAAAAUGUUAUAUAUGACAAAAUCAAGAAAAAAGAAGACAGAAGAAAAAUGGUAUAGUUGUGGAUGUGUGUAUGUUUCUUAAUUAAAUGACUAUUAGUUUAAGGACAUAUGUAUAUCAAAUACAUUGAAUUUGUACCUCUAACUGUGUGGAGUAGGUUGACCAUAUUAGGAAGUGUGUGACAAUCGAUGAUAUGUAUAUUUCUUUGGGUUAUUUACAAGUUGGCACUGUUUGCUGUAAUGAAUGAUGGUCAUUACAGAGUAUUUGAAACUAUGGCUGCGAGAGAUGUGUAUUUGAAACUAUGCCUGCGAGAGAUGUGUUACUGUGAUUCAUUUAUAUGUAUUUGAAUGGU